UUAUUUUAUUUUGGUAAAAUUUUUUAUUUUUAUUUUAUUUUACAUGUAAAUUUUUGUGGGAAUUUAAUUAAUAUUUAAUAUGUUAAUUAAUGAAAUUUAUUCUCAGUAAUUAAUAUUAAAAAAAAAAAGAAAUUUUGUUUUAGUAAUAAUAAAUAGUAUUGGUAAAAUUUGUGCCAGCUACCGCGGUUAUACAAAUAAUACAAAUAAAAAUUUUUAGUAUUAGUUAAAUUAAAUAAAUUUAAUAUAAAUAUAAAUUUAUUAGGUGAAAUUUUUAAAUUUAUUUAUUAUUAAUAUAUAAUUAAUUUAAGCUAUUAAAUUUUUAUAAUAAACUAGGAUUAGAUACCCUAUUAUUAAAAAUAAAUACAAUAAAUGCUAAAGUAGUAUUAGCUAUAUUCUUAAAAUUUAAAAAAUUUGGCGGUAUUUUAGUCUAUUCAGAGGAAUCUGUUCUGUAAUUGAUAGUCCACAUUGUACCUUACUUAAAUUUGUUUAAUUUGUAUAUCGCCGUCAUCAGAAUAUAUUAUAAGAUGGAAUUUUCUAAAUAUUAAAAUAAAAUAAAAUGUCAGGUCAAGGUGCAGUUUAUGUUUAAGUAGAAAUGGAUUACAAUAAAUUUAUUUAUAUGGAUAUUUUUUUGAAAAAGAAAAUUAAAAGUGGAUUUGAUCGUAAUAUAAAAUAGAUUAUUUAUGUGAGUUUAGCUCUAAAAUAUGCACAUAUCGCCCAUCGUUCUUAUUUUUAAAAUAAGAUAAGUUGUAACAUAGUAGAUGUACUGGAAAGUGUAUCUAGAAUGA
rnacentral:ncRNA from 1 species